rnacentral:rRNA from 1 species
AUGCACACGGAUUCAGAGGACGAUCGGUAUCGUUAUCGUGCCGUCUAUUGGCAAAGCGCGCUGUACGUCCACUGCCAGUAUGGCUAUCUUACGAGAAUGUCCUUGUUAGAUCACACUUACAGUGUAAUUAAGCUACCAUAUGCCAAACAUCCCAACCACCAUUUAGGGAGAUCACUGAGAGGGGUGUAUUUCGCAAUAUCUUGUAGCUGGGAUGGAUUUCUUCAGCUUUGGUAUCUCAACGAAUCAUGCAGUCGAAUAGAGUGGGUGCUAAAACAUGAUACCCGUCUGGAGAUCUUUGAACAUGAGGACCAACCGGGCAGGCGAUGGAUCUUACAGGAUGUUAACCAUCGUAAGCGCUUCUUUGAGCACAAUGGUAAUAAAUAUCGAGAUUACAGAGCGCAGGUGGAAGAGAAAUAUGAUUGGAACUCUGACGAGGAUAACAUCAUUGACAUUGAAGACAAUGCUGAAGAGGGAUAUCACGAUGGUCUUUACUUUCUUGGAUUUCAUCCUUAUAAAGAGAUUGUCUUCUUGAUUUCAUCAGGGAGAGAAGCAAGAGGAAUGGCCUAUGAUUGGAACAACUCAAAAUUUCAGGACUUGGGCAAUGUGUGUCCAGCAGAUUUCGAUCCCAGCUGCGGGCUACCAUGCGGAGAGAUGGAUGCAGCUUUCCCGUACACGCCCUGCUGGAUGGGCGAGUUUCCCGGAAACGAACUAGAACCGCUACUCGAAGAUGAGAAGCUAUCUAUGAAAAAGUUGGAACAAGAAGAGGAAUCCAACUUUACCUGUAUGGACGAGUAUGAGUUGCGCAAGUUCCAUGGGCACGCCAAGAGGGUCAAGGACCGUAUCGUCAAGGUUCGUCACAGACGCCGUACAACAGCUCGGUAG